UAGGUGACGAGUCAUUGGAUUCCCCUCAUCAAUGAAAGAACAGAUAAGGACAGCAGAGUACCAUUGAUCCUGGUGGGGAAUAAAUCUGACCUGGUGGAGCACAGCAGCAUGGAGACCAUCCUGCCCAUCAUGAACCAGUACUCUGAGAUUGAGACUUGUGUGGAGUGUUCAGCCAAAAACCUGAAAAAUAUCUC